AGUGAACGCUGGCGGUAGGCCUAAUACAUGCAAGUCGAACGGCAGCACAGUAAGAGCUUGCUCUUACGGGUGGCGAGUGGCGGACGGGUGAGGCAUACAUCGGAAUCUACUUUUUCGUGGGGGAUAACGUAGGGACACUUACGAUAAUACCGCAUACGACCUACGGGUGAAAGCAGGGGAUAUUCGGACCUUGCGCGAUUGAAUGAGCCGAUGUCGGAUUAGCUAGUUGGCGGGGUAAAGGCCCACCAAGGCGACGAUCCGUAGCUGGUCUGAGAGGAUGAUCAGCCACACUGGAACUGAGACACGGUCCAGACUCCUACGGGAGGCAGCAGUGGGGAAUAUUGGGCAAUGGGCGCAAGCCUGAUCCAGCCAUACCGCGUGGGUGAAGAAGGCCUUCGGGUUGUAAAGCCCUUUUGUUGGGAAAGAAAAGCAGCAGGUUAAUACCCCGCUGUUCUGACGGUACCCAAAGAAUAAGCACCGGCUAACUUCGUG
rnacentral:rRNA from 1 species